AGUUAACGCUGGCGGUAGGCCUAACACAUGCAAGUCGAACGGCAGCACAGUAAGAGCUUGCUCUUACGGGUGGCGAGUGGCGGACGGGUGAGGAAUACAGCGGAAUCUACUUUUUCGUGGGGGAUAACGUAGGGAAACUUACGCUAAUACCGCAUACGACCUACGGGUGAAAGCAUGGGAUCUUCGGACCUUGCGCGAUUGAAUUAGCCGAUGUCGGAUUAGCUAGUGGGCGGGGUAAAGGCCCACCAAGGCGACGAUCCGUAGCUGGUCUGAGAGGAUGAUCAGCCACAAUGGAACUGAGACACGGUCCAGACUCCUACGGGAGGCAGCAGUGGGGAAUAUUGGACAAUGGGCGCAAGACUGAUCCAGCCAUACCGCGUGGGUGAAGAAGGCCUUCGGGUUGUAAAGACCUUUUGUUGGGAAAGAAAAGCAGCAGGUUAAUACCCCGCUGUUCUGACGGUACCCAAAGAAUAAGCACCGGCUAACUUCGUGC
rnacentral:rRNA from 1 species